UGCAAUCGAGGAUGAAAAAUUUUCCGAUAAUUACUGAUUUUACAGUGAUUAGUACACAAAUAAUCACCAUCUUUCGGCUGAGAUUGCA